rnacentral:rRNA from 1 species
UACGUAGGUGGCAAGCGUUGUCCGGAUUUAUUGGGCGUAAAGCGAGCGCAGGCGGUUUCUUAAGUCUGAUGUGAAAGCCCCCGGCUCAACCGGGGAGGGUCAUUGGAAACUGGGAGACUUGAGUGCAGAAGAGGAGAGUGGAAUUCCAUGUGUAGCGGUGAAAUGCGUAGAUAUAUGGAGGAACACCAGUGGCGAAGGCGGCUCUCUGGUCUGUAACUGACGCUGAGGCUCGAAAGCGUGGGGAGCAA